ACUCGGAUAGUAUAACGGCUAUUACACGCGACUGAUAAUCGUGAGAUACAAGUUCGAUUCUUGUUCUGAGUACCA
rnacentral:tRNA from 1 species